rnacentral:rRNA from 1 species
GACGAACGCUGGCGGCGUGCUUAACACAUGCAAGUCGAACGGAAAGGCCCUGCUUGCAGGGUUCUCGAGUGGCGAACGGGUGAGUAACACGUGGGUGAUCUGCCCUGCACUUCGGGAUAAGCCUGGGAAACUGGGUCUAAUACCGGAUAGGAGCCAUUUUUAGUGUGAUGGUUGGAAAGUUUUUUCGGUGUAGGAUGAGCUCGCGGCCUAUCAGCUUGUUGGUGGGGUAAUGGCCUACCAAGGCGGCGACGGGUAGCCGGCCUGAGAGGGUGGACGGCCACAUUGGGACUGAGAUACGGCCCAGACUCCUACGGGAGGCAGCAGUGGGGAAUAUUGCACAAUGGGCGCAAGCCUGAUGCAGCGACGCCGCGUGGGGGAUGACGGCCUUCGGGUUGUAAACUCCUUUCGCUAGGGACGAAGCUUUUUGUGACGGUACCUAGAUAAGAAGCACCGGCUAACUACGUG